AUUGAACGCUGGCGGCAUGCUUUACACAUGCAAGUCGGACGGCAGCACAGAGAAGCUUGCUUCUUGGGUGGCGAGUGGCGAAUGGGUGAGUAAUAUAUCGGAACGUACCGAGUAAUGGGGGAUAACUAAUCGAAAGAUUAGCUAAUACCGCAUAUUCUCUGAGGAGGAAAGCAGGGGACCUUCGGGCCUUGCGUUAUUCGAGCGGCCGAUAUCUGAUUAGCUAGUUGGUGGGGUAAAGGCCUACCAAGGCGACGAUCAGUAGCGGGUCUGAGAGGAUGAUCCGCCACACUGGGACUGAGACACGGCCCAGACUCCUACGGGAGGCAGCAGUGGGGAAUUUUGGACAAUGGGCGCAAGCCUGAUCCAGCCAUGCCGCGUGUCUGAAGAAGGCCUUCGGGUUGUAAAGGACUUUUGUCAGGGAAGAAAAGGCUGUUGCUAAUAUCAAUAGCUGAUGACGGUACCUGAAGAAUAAGCACCGGCUAACUACGUG
rnacentral:rRNA from 1 species